rnacentral:misc_RNA from 1 species
UCGAAAUCCAAGGCGUGGAGGGGGGAUUCCGUCCCUCCGAAGCCCUUUUUACCUCUUAUACACCCUUGUGCACCCGUUCGCGAGGUCCUUCGGGACCCUGCGCGUUCUAUCUCCCACUCGCAUGUCUACAGAAUGUCGAUAGCAUUUGAAAUGAAAUA